rnacentral:rRNA from 1 species
CUUUCAACAACGGAUCUCUUGGUUCUGGCAUCGAUGAAGAACGCAGCGAAAUGCGAUAAGUAAUGUGAAUUGCAGAAUUCAGUGAAUCAUCGAAUCUUUGAACGCACAUUGCGCCCCCUGGCAUUCCGGGGGGCAUGCCUGUCCGAGCGUC